AAUAAAAUGCCUGAGAAAAGGAUUAUUUUGAUAGAAUAAAUUAUGUAUUUAAAAUACUUUUAUUG
rnacentral:tRNA from 1 species